AUUGAACGCUGGCGGCAUGCCUUACACAUGCAAGUCGAACGGCAGCACGGGAGCAAUCCUGGUGGCGAGUGGCGAACGGGUGAGUAAAGUAUCGGAACGUGCCCAGUCGUGGGGGAUAACGUAGCGAAAGUUACGCUAAUACCGCAUACGAUCUAUGGAUGAAAGCGGGGGAUCGCAAGACCUCGCGCGAUUGGAGCGGCCGAUGCCUGAUUAGGUAGUUGGUGAGGUAAAGGCUCACCAAGCCGACGAUCAGUAGCAGGUCUGAGAGGAUGAUCUGCCACACCGGAACUGAGACACGGUCCGGACUCCUACGGGAGGCAGCAGUGGGGAAUAUUGGACAAUGGACGAAAGUCUGAUCCAGCGAUGCCGCGUGAGUGAAGAAUGUCUUCGGAUUGUAAAGCUCUUUUGUCAGGGAAGAAAAGUGCUGUAAUAACACUACGGCACAAUGACGGUACCUGAAGAAUAAGGAUCGGCUAACUACGUGCCAGCCGCCGCUGUAA
rnacentral:rRNA from 1 species